rnacentral:lncRNA from 1 species
UUUACCCUUUAAUGUAAUAACUACCCACUCUAAAAAAUAAACUACCCACUAUCAAUUAUGUAAUUUUAUAUUUAAUAACCACUUUAAAAGCUAAUUUUACCAAACACUUUAAUUUCAAUAAGCUAGCUUUUCAGCUAUCAGCUAUAAGCUAGCUUUUCAGCUAUCAGCUAGCUUAUCAGCUAUCAGCUAGCUUAUAGCUUAUUUUUACCAAACAGACCCU